rnacentral:rRNA from 1 species
CCUACGGGGGGCAGCAGUGAGGAAUAUUGGUCAAUGGACGAGAGUCUGAACCAGCCAAGUAGCGUGAAGGAUGACUGCCCUAUGGGUUGUAAACUUCUUUUAUGUGGGAAUAAAACGUUCCACGUGUGGGAUUUUGUAUGUACCAUAUGAAUAAGGAUCGGCUAACUCCGUGCCAGCAGCCGCGGUAAUAUGGAGGAUCCGAGCGUUAUCCGGAUUUAUUGGGUUUAAAGGGAGCGUAGGUGGAUUGUUAAGUCAGUUGUGAAAGUUUGCGGCUCAACCGUAAAAUUGCAGUUGAAACUGGCAGUCUUGAGUACAGUAGAGGUGGGCGGAAUUCGUGGUGUAGCGGUGAAAUGCUUAGAUAUCACGAAGAACUCCGAUUGCGAAGGCAGUUCACUGGACUGCAACUGACACUGAGGCUCGAAAGUGUGGGUAUCAAACAGGAUUAGAUACCCGUGUAGUC